rnacentral:rRNA from 1 species
GUGUCAGCAGCCGCGGUAAUACAGAGGGGGCAAGCGUUAUUCGGAAUCAUUGGGCGUAAAGGGCGCGUAGGCGGCCGAGCAAGUCUUGGGUGAAAUCCCUCGGCUUAACCGAGGAACUGCCUUGGAAACUGCUUGGCUUGAGGCCGGGAGAGGGUGGUGGAAUUCCCAGUGUAGCGGUGAAAUGCGUAGAUACUGGGAGGAACACCAGUGGCGAAGGCGGCCACCUGGACCGGUCCUGACGCUGAGGCGCGAAAGCGUGGGGAGCAAACAGGAUUAGAAACCCCCGUAGUCC